rnacentral:pre_miRNA from 1 species
GAGACAAGAGCCGCUCCGAAUAGCCAAGGAAGACAUGCCUAUAUAUGUAUGAGUACAGAGUACUACACACACAUAUAAUUGACGACAGGACUGAUCAGGGGAGAAUCAAAAUGCAGAUGAGCAGCGUAUAAAUACAUGCACAUAGGCAUUAGGCAAGUCAUCCUUGGCUACCGAAUCAGCUCUUGUCC